UACGUAGGGGGCAAGCGUUGUCCGGAUUUAUUGGGCGUAAAGAGCGUGUAGGCGGCUAGGUAGGUCCGUUGUGAAAACUCGAGGCUCAACCUCGAGACGUCGAUGGAAACCAUCUAGCUAGAGUCCGGAAGAGGAGAGUGGAAUUCCUGGUGUAGCGGUGAAAUGUGCAGAUAUCAGGAAGAACACCCGUGGCGAAGGCGGCUCUCUGGUACGUGACUGACGCUGAGACGCGAAAGCGUGGGGAGCGAACAGG
rnacentral:rRNA from 1 species